CCUACGGGUGGCAGCAGUGGGGAAUAUUGGGCAAUGGGCGCAAGCCUGACCCAGCAACACCGCGUGAAGGAAGAAGGCUUUCGGGUUGUAAACCUCUGUCUUUGGGGAAGAAAAUGACGGUACCCAAAGAGGAAGCUCCGGCUAACUACGUGCCAGCAGCCGCGGUAAUACGUAGGGAGCGAGCGUUGUCCGGAAUUACUGGGUGUAAAGGGAGCGUAGGCGGGCGAGAAAGUUGAAUGUUAAAUCUACCGGCUUAACUGGUAGCUGCGUUCAAAACUUCUUGUCUUGAGUGAAGUAGAGGCAGGCGGAAUUCCUAGUGUAGCGGUGAAAUGCGUAGAUAUUAGGAGGAACACCAGUGGCGAAGGCGGCCUGCUGGGCUUUAACUGACGCUGAGGCUCGAAAGCGUGGGGAGCAAACAGGAUUAGAUACCCGAGUAGUC
rnacentral:rRNA from 1 species